AUUGAACGCUGGCGGCAGGCUUAACACAUGCAAGUCGAACGAGUGGCGGACGGGUGAGUAAUGCUUGGGAAUCUAGCUUAUGGAGGGGGAUAACUACGGGAAACUGUAGCUAAUACCGCGUACCCUAGGAUGAGCCCAAGUGGGAUUAGGUAGUUUGUGAGGGAAAUGCUCACCAAGCCGACGAUCUCUAGCUGGUCUGAGAGGAUGACCGGCCACACGGGAACUGAGACACGGCCCAGACUCCUACGGGAGGCAGCAGUGGGGAAUAUUGCGCAAUGGGGGCAACCUGACGCAGCCAUGCCGCGGGAAUGAAGAAGGCCUUCGGGUUGUAAAGUUCUUUCGGUAGCGAGGCGUUAACUACAGAAGAAGCACCGGCUAACUCCGUGCCAGCAGCCGCGGUAAUAC
rnacentral:rRNA from 1 species